CGCGCACUGUACUGCGCAGCCGCGUUACAUCGCGCGGUGUGCCGUCGCGUUGUGCUCUGCGCGAUGCAAUGCGCACUGCAUCGCUCAGUACAUUGCGCGCUACCGCGCGCAGUACAUCGUGCAUGGCUUUACGCAGUACGUUGUGCGGCGCUGCGCACUGUACUGCGCAGCCGCGUUAUAUCGCGCGGUACGCCGUCGCGUUGUGCUCUGCGCGGUGCAAUGCGCGUUGCCUCGCCAAGUACGUCGCAGGCAGUACAUCAAAGAGUAUUAAAUAGAGCGGAAGGUAAGCGUCUACUGACAGCGCCAGCUCGUGGUUUGGAAUAUGUACUAAUCUCAAGUUGCGCAUGCACAAUGGUAUCCACUGGGGAAGCGUCGAUUUCGGCAUUAUUUGAACGUCAACAAAGAGUGGGAACCGAUCUAAGACCGUUAACGGAUUGAAAACGAUACAGAUUCAAUCAUGGCAAUAAUGUGUAACCUCCGCACAUACAAGAAGAACUCGAAGAAUCAAUAGAAAUUAGCCUUUUUCUGUGCGCCGAAGGAACCAACAAUCGUAACGAAACUUUUUAACUGGCAUUAACUGGUACUUAAGUUGUCAAAAGUGGACAAAACUUGCUGGGUGGAAGGAUACUUAAUAUG